GUUGUAAUUUGCAGAGGAUGCUUUUGGUGCGGUGCCUUCCGAGUUCCCUGGAACGGGACGCCUUAGAGGGUGAGAGCCCCGUACGGUUGGACACCAAGCCUAUGUAAAGCUCCUUCGACGAGUCGAGUAGUUUGGGAAUGCUGCUCAAAAUGGGAGGUAUAUUUCUUCUAAAGCUAAAUAUUGGCCAGAGACCGAUAGCGCACAAGUAGAGUGAUCGAAAGAUGAAAAGCACUUUGAAAAGAGGGUUAAAUAGCACGUGAAAUUGUUGAAAGGGAAGGAUUUAUGACCAGACUUUUUCUGGGGGGAUCAUCCGGUGUUCUCACCGGUGCACUUCCCCCAGUUGAGGCCAGCAUCGGUUUCUGUCGAGGGAUAAAAGCUUUAGGAAUGUGGCUCUCUCCGGGGAGUGUUAUAGCCUGUUGCAUAAUACCUUGACGGGGACCGAGGUUCGCGCAUUGCAAGGAUGCUGGCGUAAUGGUUAUUAAUCACCCGUCUUGAAACACGGACCAAGGAGUCGAACAUUUGUGCGAGUGUUUGGGUGUUAAACCCUCACGCGUAAUGAAAGUGAACGGAGGUGAGAGCCUUUAGGGGUGCAUCAUCGACCGAUCCUGAUGUCUUCGGAUGGAUUUGAGUAAGAGCAUAACUGUUCGGACCCGAAAGAUGGUGAACUAUGCGUGGAUAGGGUGAAGCCAGAGGAAACUCUGGUGGAGGCUCGCAGCGGUUCUGACGUGCAAAUCGAUCGUCAAAUCUGCGCAUGGGGGCGAAAGACUAAUCGAACCAUUGACCAGCGGUCAAAACAAUCACUAGGUGGUUAAGAGGGGGUCCGCGAGGACCAUUUGAAAAACCUAGGCUGAGCCCGGUUACCCUGUAGGUUACCCUGUAGCUACCCUGUAGCUUACCUGGUAGCGUACCCGGUACCGGUCCGGCCGACACCGCUAAAAUGCGGGGACAUCCCUUUACAGGGCCAAAGGCUACCGCCACGCGCUGAAAAGCGUGCUGGCACCGAGGAUAGUGACCUCGGGUACGGUAAUAACGCCUGCGGCUGGGACGACCUGCAGCCAACCCCGCCCAGGGGAGAGUUCACAGACUAAACAGCGGUGGGUUGGCAGCGCCUCUCGGGGCCUGCCAGCCUAAGAUAUAGUCGACCCAGGGGCCUGAAAAGGUCACCUAAACAAAGCGGGAGCUAGUAGCUGGUUACCGCCGAAGUUUCCCUCAGGAUAGCAGUGUUGUGUUCAGUUUUAUGAGGUAAAGCGAAUGAUUAGGGACUCGGGGGCUAUUUAUUGCCUUCAUCCAUUCUCAAACUUUAAAUAUGUAAGAAGCCCUUGUUACUUUAUUGAACGUGGGCAUUCGAAUGUAUCAACACUAGUGGGCCAUUUUUGGUAAGCAGAACUGGCGAUGCGGGAUGAACCGAACGCGAGGUUAAGGUGCCAGAGUAGACGCUCAUCAGACACCACAAAAGGUGUUAGUACAUCUUGACAGCAGGACGGUGGCCAUGGAAGUCGGAAUCCGCUAAGGACUGUGUAACAACUCACCUGCCGAAUGUACUAGCCCUGAAAAUGGAUGGCGCUCAAGCGUCUCACCCAUACCUCGC
rnacentral:rRNA from 2 species